UCUUCGGCAAUGGACGAAAGUCUGACCGAGCAACGCCGCGUGAGUGAAGAAGGUUUUCGGAUCGUAAAACUCUGUUGUUAGAGAAGAGCAAGGAUGAGGGUAACUGUUCAUCCCUUGACGGUAUCUAACCAGAAAGCCACGGCUAACUACGUGCCAGCAGCCGCGGUAAUACGUAGGUGGCAAGCGUUGACCGGAUUUAUUGGGCGUAAAGCGAGCGCAGGCGGUUUCUUAAGUCUGAUGUGAAAGCCCCCGGCUUAACCGGGGAGGGUCAUUGGAAACUGGGGAACUUGAGUGCAGAAGAGGAGAGUGGAAUUCCAUGUGUAGCGGUGAAAUGCGUAGAUAUAUGGAGGAACACCAGUGGCGAAGGCGGCCCUCUGGUCUGCAACUGACGCUGAUGCUCGAAAGCGUGGGGAGCAAACAG
rnacentral:rRNA from 1 species